rnacentral:ncRNA from 2 species
CAUCCAUCGAGACCGGCUGAGGGACAGGCCCGCAGACGCCGGGGCAACCGCGACAUCGCUCACGCGAUGGCGUUGGUGCCAAAUCCUGCGGGGGCCCUGCGCCCACCGGCAGAUGGAUC